GUGUUAAAGUGAACUAAAUAUGGCCUGAGAGGGAUUCCCUACUUCUAUAUUUGAGUUCUUGUGGAUGAGCUGCAACCUAGCUUAAUAGGCAAACAAGAUGGAAAACCUAACUUAGGAGCAUGCGCCCGUAACAAUCGCUGAGUCUUGACCGAUCCCGGCAGCCGUACUUCAACGAUUCGUGCACUGCUGAGUGUUCAAACUGUGUGCAAAUAAGGCAACGCCAACAUGUCACCAAUCCAGCUGUUUCUGGACCUCACUUCCGAUUUGUGUAUGUCACUUUACUUUUUUUUUUUUUUUGCCUGUAAAUUUGACCACUGGAGUCUCUCUGAAUCUGCUGUGAUUCUGGGGGCUGCCUGAUUCGCGAAUCGUUAAUUGCUCAAUGAAACUCCGUUGCAUUUAAUUAGGCUGAAGUUUUUCUUUUAACUCCCGGAAAGGGCUUCCUCGGGCCGGCCGGCCGGCCCUUCAGGCCACUCGUGCUCUCAGCCAGGCAGUUGCUCCAAUAAAGUCCAGGGCCAGCCCUGCCAGGGCCUCAGCCCCACACCUCGGGGAGUGCUGCUCCCAGCUCCCACUCUGCCCUGCGCCUCUGCCUCCCGGCAGGGCUCCCCCCACACAUGGAAUGAAUGCUUCUCUGGCAUACUCUGAUUUCACCGCAGCUACAGCCGCCUUUCUAGAAUGAUAUUCCUGCUGCUGCCUGGAGAUCCUCUUCACCCUUCACCUGGUGGAGAAGCCUUCUCAGCCCCACCAGCUGUCUCCAAACCCAGCCAAGGACUCAGAGUGUGGGGCCUGAAGGAGGGGCUCUCAGCAAAGCCUUCCUGGAUGAAGGGGCUCAUCCUCUGCAUUGCAUGAUGAGAAAAAGGCCCAGAAAGCCCCAGACCCUGCGGGUGUGGAGCGGGAGCCCAGGAAGCAAACCUCAGCAGCCCUGUGUGGGGACAGGGAGGCCACUCUGCAGAGGACCGCUGAGCUGUCUCCAUUGUGGUUUAGGAACUGCCCAGGUGGAAAGUGGGAAGAUAAAUCAGAUCCCUGCUACUCCUUAAGCAGAAGUGAAAUUCAUUCAUGGUCUGGACAGACUUCUUUGUGCUUCAGAAGCUCAUCAUCAACACAGCAGAUUGCACUGGAACUUCCUCAGUGCAUGCAGAUGUGGAAGCCACCUCCUGGUUCAUCUAGUACAUGCUCAACCAUGGCCUGAGUGGCUCAGAUGUAUUUGGGCCUCAUUGCAUUUAGCAAGUUAAUUGCUCAUUAAGAGGAAGGGACAUUCACAGAGCUGGACCAACAUCCUGAUAAAAUACCCAGUGACUUUCAGUGUUUGAUUUAUGAGCACAGGCUCGGCUCCUUGCAGGCUUGUGUCAGGACGGGCUGGAGCGAUAAGCACAUAUUUAUCUUCAGGCCUUGAAGAAUGACAGGGGAACGCGGUACUGUAAAGGCAACAAAGCCACCCCGUGGGCAGAGGACAGUCGCUGGGUGCAUUGGGAAAGCUGGAGCAGACUCCUUGUGGGAAGACAAUGAACGGAAUUAGAAGUUAGGGUUUUAAUUAUCAUACAAAUUAGAAGAGGAUUAAUCAGCUCAUAUUUUAUGACAUGACAUGGUGUGGAGGACUGCCGGUUAAGUUUUAUGGCAAAUCUUUGAUUAAUUGAGACACAGCAUGAAGGUAUAAAAUCCACACUACAGCUGCAUGUUAAUCUCUCCCUUUCCUUCCAAGGUUAGAAGCCAGUGUAAGAGAGACGGCUGCUGAAGACACAUAGCCGCACGUGCGAACAUGGCCUCACAGCUUGCCUCUCCAUAAGAGGUUUAUUUGUCUUCUCAUAUUUGUUCAAUGUGGACAAGAACCUUCUGGCCCCUGCUCCUCUUUUGCAUUUGGAAUCCUUUGACUUCUGCUUUCUUGAGGAGUGAGGCUCCUGGGCAAGUUGUCACCCAACUCUGGGCAGUCAUCCCAGGACCUGAGAGUCACUGCAAAUCCUUGCUCAGAACCCCAUGCCCAUGUGUUCAUCCUUGCAUACUUUCCCAGGCCCCAGACCAAAUUAAAACUUGGCAGUUGAAUCACGGUUUUCACAAAAUCAGCCCAACAAACUAUGGCUCCAAGUCCAGCAGGGCUGGGCCACUCAAGGCAGAGUAAAGUUUCAGAGACAGAAAUGGAAACCUGACCAGGGCUGCCCAGGAGCCGUGACGAAGGAGACUUGUCACUCUGUCGCUGCAAACACAGAAGUGUUUAGAGUGUGUAGGCCACUGUUCCAGGUAGGAGUCUCAUGGAGAACUUGAGAAGGAGGACUGUGUGUGUGCGGCCAAGGUAAGUCUCAGACGGAAGGCAUGUGCUAACAGGGCAGCUAACAGAUCUGCAGAACGUAAUGUGCCUGACCCUGAGCUGCUGAUCUACCUCACACUCCAAUUCAAUUCAGUCCUUUCAGUUGCUUAAGGAAAUCUGCAGUUAUCUGAUUUCUCAACGAGUCCUGUAGGUUCUACUAUAAAAAUAUACGGAAGAACCACCUACUUCUCACCACUGCUAUUUAGACCAUGCUGCUCCACCCACUUCUACCUUCACCUGGGCUCUGGGUUACUGCGGUAACUUCCUCCUCGGCCCACAUCUUCCAUCCCUGUCCACUUAGGUCUAUUCUCAACACACCUGCCAGAAUGAGGUGUUGAAAUGUAAAUCAAAUCAUGUCCCCACUCUGCUCAGCCCUCUGAUGACUGUGACUCACUUCAAAUACAAGUCAGUCUGUGUGGUGCCCUGCAAGGCAAUGAGAUCUGGCCCUGGUGACCUCUUGGGCCUCACUUCCCACUGCUGUCCUUUUUCCACUCCACAUAGCGUCACAGCAUUGGCACUUGCUGGCUCCCCUGCCUGGAAUUCUCCUCCUUCUGGUAGCCAUGUGGCCCAGCUCCCUUGCUCUGUUUCAGCCUUCCCCCAAGGAAGAAUGAGGCUGCUCUACCUUCAGACCCAAAACGCAACAUGAACUCUCCUCUGGGUCAGGAAUGCCUUGUUUAGCCACCCUAUGUACAACGGGAGCUCUCUCUUCAACAGACUCAACAGUAGCCCAUGGCAUACAGAUGUUCUGGUGAAUGUUCAAUAUCUGGUUUGUGGCUAGGGGAUGGGCACACCAAUUUUUGGUGCUUAUUGAUUUCCACAAUGUAAAUGCUUUCACUGUGGCCAAUUUUAAGCUACCAAAGUGAUGACACAACUGCCUUGCAAAAUUCCUGAAAGUAAAGUAAUUGGCUUUUGCAAGCCAGUGUGAGCUGGCUCUGGCACACGCUAUAGUCCUUGUCUGUUCUGUUUUUCCCCUUGGUUUCAAUUCUGACAUACUAUAUACGUCAUUUAUAUAUCAUGUAUAUUAGAUGUCUUCCCAUUACAAUAUAAUUUUCACAGGAGCAGUGAUCUUUUGACACUUUGUUCAUUGCUGGUACAGUGUCCACUACAGGGCCUAUCACAAGUAGGUGCUCAAUACAAUUUUGCUGAAUGAGAGUAUUAAUGAAAGAUGAGCGUCUACUCCUUAUCAGAUAUUGACAAGUUUGGGGAUACAGAGAAUAAGACAAUGUUCUUGAUCUUGACUUCUAUCCAGUGGUGAAGACAAGCCUUUGCAAUACAAUGAAAUAGCAACUAAAUAGUGGUUAUUCCUGGUAGGCGUUAGAACAUAGAAAAAUCAUUGAAACAAAAUUUAAGUAUCAGAGUUGAUUAAUUCUUAUGUGAAUGGGGAUGUAAUUGUGUAACUAUUAAUAGUAUUUGACCAAGGCUCCCUGGAAUGUCUUCUAAUACCCUUUGUCUUCAUUAAAUUUUAGAUAUAUACAU